rnacentral:rRNA from 1 species
UACGUAGGGUGCAAGCGUUUGUCCGGAAUUAUUGGGCGUAAAGAGCUCGUAGGCGGUCUGUCGCGUCGGCUGUGAAAACUCGGGGCUCAACUCCGAGCCUGCAGUCGAUACGGGCAGACUAGAGUGCUGUAGGGGGAGACUGGAAUUCCUGGUGUAGCGGUGAAAUGCGCAGAUAUCAGGAGGAACACCGGUGGCGAAGGCGGGUCUCUGGGCAGUAACUGACGCUGAGGAGCGAAAGCGUGGGGGAGCGAACAGG